UACGUAGGAUGCGAGCGUUGUCCGGAAUUAUUGGGCGUAAAGAGAACGUAGGCGGUUUGUUAAGUUUGGGCUUAAAGACUGGGGCUCAACCCCCAGGAGUGGCUCGAAAAACUGACAGACUAGAGGAUGGCAGAGGAAAGUGGAAUUCCCAGUGUAGCGGUGGAAUGCGUAGAUAUUGGGAGGAACACCAGUGGCGAAAGCGACUUUCUGGGCCAUUCCUGACGCUGAGGUUCGAAAGCUCGGGGGAGCAAACAGG
rnacentral:rRNA from 1 species